UUGCCUAAAUAUAAGAGGUCUAGCCUGCCCAGUGACUUAGUUCAACGGCCGCGGUAUCCUAACCGUGCGAAGGUAGCGUAAUCACUUGUUCUUUAAAUGGGGACUAGUAUGAAUGGCAUCACGAGGGUUAUGCUGUCUCCUUUUUCUAAUCAAUGAAACUGAUCUCCCCGUGAAGAAGCGGGCAUAAUAAUAUAAGACGAGAAGACCCUAUGGAGCUUUAAACGAUUAUAGCACUGGCCCACUCAUUCCAUGUUUCAGAACUACAACAUUCACUAUAGCCUUAAUGACUAUUAGUUUUAGGUUGGGGUGACCGCGGAGCAAAAAUUAACCUCCACAUUGRAAAGAACCUUUCUUGAGCCCAAAGCCACAACUUCAAGCACCAAUAAACUGACAUACAUUGACCCAAGAAAUUGAUCAACGAACCAAGUUACCCUAGGGAUAACAGCGCAAUCCACUUCAAGAGCCCCUAUCGACAAGUGGGUUUACGACCUCGAUGUUGGAUCAGGGUAUCCCAGUGGCGCAGCCGCUACUAACGGUUCGUUUGUUCAACGAUUAAAAC
rnacentral:rRNA from 1 species